rnacentral:rRNA from 1 species
AAUGAACGCUGGCGGCAGGCUUAACACAUGCAAGUCGAACGAGCGGCGGACGGGUGAGUAAUGUCUGGGAAACUGCCCGAUGGAGGGGGAUAACUACUGGAAACCGUAGCUAAUACCGCCUUCCAUCAGAUGUGCCCAGAUGGGAUUAGCUAGUAGGUGGGGUAAUGGCUAACCUAGGCGACGAUGCCUAGCUGGUCUGAGAGACUGACCGGCAACACUGGAACUGAGACACGGCCCAGACUCCAACGGGAGGCAGAAGUGGGGAAUAUUCCACAAGGGGCGCAAGCCUGAUGCAGCAAUGCCGCGUGGGUGAAGAAGGCUUUCGGGUUGUAAAGCACUUUCAUCGGGGAGGCGGUACUCGCAGAAAAAGCCACGGCUAACUCCGUGCCAGCAGCCGCGGUAAUUC